rnacentral:snRNA from 1 species
AGCUUUGCACAGUGGUAGUAUCGUAGCCAAUGAGGUUUAUCUGAGGCACGAUUAUUGCUAAUUGAAAACUUUGUAUCUUUGGAUAUGUUGCUGCUUCUUCAUAGAA